rnacentral:rRNA from 1 species
UCCAGAGGUCCCAAGCGUUGUCCGGAAUCAUUGGGCGUAAAGCGCGUGUAGGCGGCUUGGUAAGUCCGCUCUGAAAGCCCGGGGCUCAACCCCGGGAGGCGGGUGGAUACUGUCAAGCUCGAGUCCGGAAGAGGCGAGUGGAAUUCCUGGUGUAGCGGUGAAAUGCGCAGAUAUCAGGAAGAACACCCGUGGCGAAGGCGGCUCUCUGGGACGGUACUGACGCUGAGACGCGAAAGCGUGGGGAGCGAACAGG